CCUACGGGAGGCAGCAGUGGGGAAUUUUCCGCAAUGGGCGAAAGCCUGACGGAGCAACGCCGCGUGAGGGAUGAAGGCCUCUGGGCUGUAAACCUCUUUUAUCAAGGAAGAAGAUCUGACGGUACUUGAUGAAUAAGCCACGGCUAAUUCCGUGCCAGCAGCCGCGGUAAUACGGGAGUGGCAAGCGUUAUCCGGAAUUAUUGGGCGUAAAGCGUCCGCAGGCGGUCUUGUAAGUCUGUCGUUAAAGCGUGGAGCUUAACUCCAUUUCGGCGGUGGAAACUACAAGACUAGAGUGUGGUAGGGGCAGAGGGAAUUCCCGGUGUAGCGGUGAAAUGCGUAGAUAUCGGGAAGAACACCAGUGGCGAAGGCGCUCUGCUGGGCCAUAACUGACGCUCAUGGACGAAAGCUAGGGGAGCGAAAGGGAUUAGAUACCCCUGUAGUCCUAGCCGUAAACGAUGAACACUAGGUNUCGGGGGAAUCGACCCCUCGGUGUCGUAGCUAACGCGUUAAGUGUUCCGCCUGGGGNGUACGCNCGCAGUGUGAACGUAAAGUAAGUAGUACGGCGUGAGACGUGUCGACGGACGACGACGAGGGAGGUAGG
rnacentral:rRNA from 1 species